rnacentral:siRNA from 1 species
GUAUCAGACGGUGAUUGCGA